GCUACUGCCAUCAGAGUUCGAUUAAGCCAUGUUAGUCGAGGGUGCUUCUUCUUCGGAAGAAGUAACCCGGCGGACGGCUCAGUAACACGUGGAUAACUUGCCCUUGGGUCCGGGAUAACCCCUGAGAAAUUGGGGACAAUACCGGAUAGGGCAUCGAUAGCUGGAAUGCGCGAUGUCCAAAAGCUGAGGCGCCCAAGGAUAGGUCUGCGGCCGAUUAGGUUGUUGUUGAUGUAAUGGAUCAACAAGCCUGCAAUCGGUACGGGUUGUGAGAGCAAGAGCCCGGAGAUGGGUUCUGAGAGAAGAACCCAGGUCCUACGGGACGCAUCAGGCGCGAAAACUUUACAAUGUGCGAAAGCACGAUAAGGGAACUCUGAGUGCCUCCUAUGGAGGCUGUUCAGUGUGUCUAAAAAGCACUUGAAGUAAGGGCUGGGUAAGACCGGUGCCAGCCGCUGCGGUAACACCGGCAGCCCAAGUGGUAGCACAAUUAUUGGGUCUAAAGCGUCCGUAGCCGGCCAGGUAAUUUCUUUGGGAAAUUUAACCGCUCAACGGUUAAGCUUUCAGGGAAUACUGCUUGGCUUGGGACCGGGAGAGGUCAGAGGUACUUCAAGGGUAGGGGUGAAAUCCGUUAAUCCUUGAGGGACCCACCAGUAGCGAAGGCGUAUGACCAGACCGGGUCCGACGGAGAGGGACGAAGGCUAGGGUCGCGAACCGGAUUAGAUACCCGGGUAGUCCUAGCUGUAAACGAUGCGGGCCAGGUGUUGGCAUUACUGCGAGUGAAGUCAGUGCCGAAGGGAAGCCGUUAAGCCCGCCAUCUGGGGAGUACGGUCGCAAGGCUGAAACUUAAAGGAAUAGGCGGGGGAGCACCACAACGGGUGGAGCCUGCGGUUC
rnacentral:rRNA from 1 species